UACAGAGGUCUCAAGCGUUGUUCGGAUUCAUUGGGCGUAAAGGGUGCGUAGGCGGCGCGGUAAGUCGGGUGUGAAAUCUUGGAGCUUAACUCCGAAACUGCAUUCGAUACUGCCGUGCUUGAGGACUGGAGAGGAGACUGGAAUUUACGGUGUAGCGGUGAAAUGCGUAGAUAUCGUAAGGAAGACCAGUGGCGAAGGCGGGUCUCUGGACAGUUCCUGACGCUGAGACGCGAAAGCGUGGGGAGCAAACAGG
rnacentral:rRNA from 1 species